GAUGAAGAACGUAGUGAAAUGCGAUAAGUAAUGUGAAUUGCACAAUUCAGUGAAUCAUCGAAUCUUUGAACGCACAUUGCGCCCAUUAGUAUUCUAGUGGGCAUGCCUGUUCGAGCGUCAUUAAUUCCACUUAAGCCCUGCUUAGUGUUGGGAAUCUACUCUAGUGGUGCUACCCUGGAGCUACCCCUGAAAGGGGGCUGGCCCGGUAGCUACCCUGUAGUUCCUCAAAGAUAGUGCGCGGAGUUGCGUGGUCCUCUGAGCUUAGUAACUAUACACCUAGCUUUUGAGUGUCCCGCGGCGCCUGCCGUUUAAACCCCAUCUUUUAAUGGUUGACCUCGGAUCAGGUAGGAAUACCCGCUGAACUUAAGCAUAUCAAUAAGCGGAGGA
rnacentral:misc_RNA from 1 species